AGUGAACGCUGGCGGUAGGCCUAACACAUGCAAGUCGAACGGCAGCACAGUAAGAGCUUGCUCUUACGGGUGGCGAGUGGCGGACGGGUGAGGAAUACAUCGGAAUCUACUUUUUCGUGGGGGAUAACGUAGGGAAACUUACGCUAAUACCGCAUACGACCUACGGGUGAAAGCAGGGGAUCUUCGGACCUUGCGCGAUUGAAUGAGCCGAUGUCGGAUUAGCUAGUUGGCGGGGUAAAGGCCCACCAAGGCGACGAUCCGUGGCUGGUCUGAGAGGAUGAUCAGCCACACUGGAACUGAGACACGGUCCAGACUCCUACGGGAGGCAGCAGUGGGGAAUAUUGGACAGUGGGCGCAAGCCUGAUCCAGCCAUACCGCGUGGGUGAAGAAGGCCUUCGGGUUGUAAAGCCCUUUUGUUGGGAAAGAAAAGCAGCAGGUUAAUACCCCGCUGUUCUGACGGUACCCAAAGAAUAAGCACCGGCUAACUUCGU
rnacentral:rRNA from 1 species